UGCAUUGGCCGGGAAUCGAACCCGGGGCGCCCGCCACUAUAAUAUAUAAAUGAGUUUUAAAAAUUGUAAAAAAAAAAAAAAUGCAUCGGCCGGGAAUCGAACCCGGAGAGCAUUCUACCACUGAACCAAAAGC